UACAGAGGGUGCGAGCGUUGUCCGGAAUCACUGGGCGUAAAGGGCGCGUAGGUGGUGACCUAAGCGUGCGGUGAAAGCCCGAGGCUCAACCUCGGGUCGGCCGUGCGAACUGGGUCACUGGAGCAGAAUAGAGGCAGGUGGAAUUCCGGGUGUAGCGGUGGAAUGCGUAGAGAUCCGGGAGAACACCGGUGGCGAAGGCGGCCUGCUGGGUUCUGGCUGACACUGAGGCGCGACAGCGUGGGGAGCAAACAGG
rnacentral:rRNA from 1 species